UUUGUUGUUUUUUUGGUGAAGUUGAGAAUUCUUAAGAUAAAAUUGUAAUUUUGAACAAGAAAUUUACUCAAAAAAGGAGAAAUCAUGAAAAAGGUUAAACGUAGCGGUGUCCGUGAUGCCAUGUAUAAAGUUUUAAUUCGGUGUUUCUCAUAAUUUCAAGCUGAAAAACGAGAAAAAUAUUUGGAAAACGUUUUAAAACGUACAGCAGAUUAUACCGGUGAGAUUCCAUUUGUUUUUGCUCAGUACUACGUAAAAUAGAAUAUUCUAUUAGUGACGAGUGUUUAAUGGGUUUCUGAAAGCACAGUACGCAGGAUAGUGGAGCAAUGGAGUAAAAAUGAGUGAGAAUAUCUACAAAAAAUAAAUAAAAAUAUGUAGUUUUCAAAUCA